UACGAAGGGGGCUAGCGUUGUUCGGAAUUACUGGGCGUAAAGCGCGCGCAGGCGGUCUUCCAAGUCAGUGGUGAAAGCCCGGAGCUCAACUCCGGAACUGCCAUUGAAACUGUUAGACUUGAGGAUGAGAGAGGUGAGUGGAAUUCCCAGUGUAGAGGUGAAAUUCGUAGAUAUUCGCAAGAACACCAGUGGCGAAGGCGGCUCACUGGCCCGGUACUGACGCUGAGGUGCGAAAGCGUGGGGAGCAAACAGGG
rnacentral:rRNA from 1 species